UUGCUUCUCUUGAGAGCGGCGGACGGGUGAGUAAUGCCUAGGAAUCUGCCUGGUAGUGGGGGAUAACGUCCGGAAACGGACGCUAAUACCGCAUACGUCCUACGGGAGAAAGCAGGGGACCUUCGGGCCUUGCGCUAUCAGAUGAGCCUAGGUCGGAUUAGCUAGUUGGUGGGGUAAUGGCUCACCAAGGCGACGAUCCGUAACUGGUCUGAGAGGAUGAUCAGUCACACUGGAACUGAGACACGGUCCAGACUCCUACGGGAGGCAGCAGUGGGGAAUAUUGGACAAUGGGCGAAAGCCUGAUCCAGCCAUGCCGCGUGUGUGAAGAAGGUCUUCGGAUUGUAAAGCACUUUAAGUUGGGAGGAAGGGCAGUAAAUUAAUACUUUGCUGUUUUGACGUUACCGACAGAAUAAGCACCGGCUAACUCUGUGCCAGCAGCCGCGGUAAUACAGAGGGUGCAAGCGUUAAUCGGAAUUACUGGGCGUAAAGCGCGCGUAGGUGGUUCGUUAAGUUGGAUGUGAAAUCCCCGGGCUCAACCUGGGAACUGCAUUUAAAACUGACGAGCUAGAGUAUGGUAGAGGGUGGUGGAAUUUCCUGUGUAGCGGUGAAAUGCGUAGAUAUAGGAAGGAACACCAGUGGCGAAAGCGACCACCUGGACUGAUACUGACACUGAGGUGCGAAAGCGUGGGGAGCAAAC
rnacentral:rRNA from 1 species